rnacentral:tRNA from 1 species
GACUCCAUAGUCUAGCGGUAAGGCGUCUUCCGAGGAGCCAGAAGGUCUUGGUUCGAUUUCUGGUUGAAUCG